GACGAACGCUGGCGGCGUGCCUAAUACAUGCAAGUAGAACGCUGAAGAGAGGAGCUUGCUCUUCUUGGAUGAGUUGCGAACGGGUGAGUAACGCGUAGGUAACCUGCCUUGUAGCGGGGGAUAACUAUUGGAAACGAUAGCUAAUACCGCAUAACAAUGGAUGACACAUGUCAUUUAUUUGAAAGGGGCAAUUGCUCCACUACAAGAUGGACCUGCGUUGUAUUAGCUAGUAGGUGAGGUAACGGCUCACCUAGGCGACGAUACAUAGCCGACCUGAGAGGGUGGUCGGCCACACUGGGACUGGGACACGGCCCAGACUCCUACGGGGGGCAGCAGGAGGGGAUCUUCGGCAAUGGGGGGAACCCUGACCGAGCAAAGACGCGUGAGGGAAGGAGGUUUUCGGAUCGUAAAGCUCUGUUGUAAGUCAAGAACGAGUGGGAGGGUGGAAAGUUCACACUGUGACGGUAGCUUACCAGAAAGGGACGGCUAACUACGUG
rnacentral:rRNA from 1 species